rnacentral:rRNA from 1 species
ACGGCUCAGUAACACGUAGCUAACCUGCCCUAAGGUAGAAAAUAAGGUCGGGAAACUGACUCUAAUGUUCUAUAGAAAAUAAAUUCUGGAAUGGAUUAUUUUUCAAACUUGAGCCUUAGGAUGGGGCUGCGGCUGAUUAGGUAGUUGGCGGGGUAAUGGCCCACCAAGCCAAUGAUCAGUAAGGGCUCUUAGCGGAGAAGCCCUGAGAGGGAAUCUGAGACACUAUUCCCAGCCCUACGGGGUGCAGCAGUCGAGGAACUUUUGCAAUGCACGCAAGUGUGGCAAAGCAAGCCAGAGUGUUUCUCUAAUAAUUGAGAAACUUUUGUGAGAUGUAAAAAGUCUCACGAAUAAGGACUGGGCAAGACCGGUGCCAGCCGCCGCGGUAAUACCGGCAGUCCAAGUAGCAGCCACAUUUAUUGGGUCUAAAACAUCCGUAGCUUGUUAGGUAAGUCUCUUGUGAAAUCUGGCUCCUUAAGGGUCGGGCGUGCAAGAGAUACUGCUUAACUAGAGACCGGGAGACGUAAAGAGAACAGAUUGGGUAGCGGUCAAAUGUGUUGAUCCUUUCUGGACUAACAAUAGCGAAGGCACUUUACGAUAGCGGAUCUGACAGUGAGGGAUGAAGGCUAAGGUCGCGAAGCGGAUUAGAUACCCGUGUAGUCUUAGCAGUAAACCCUGCACACUAAACAUUGGGACCUCUUCGAGAGGUUUCAGUGCUGAAGGGAAGCCGGAGAGUGUGCUACCUGGGAAGUAUAGUCGCAAGACCGAAACUUAAAGGAAUUGGCGGGGGAGCAC